CAAAUUAGAGCUUGCAAAGCAUUUCAUUUACAUUGGAAAGAAAUUAAAAAAUUUAAUUAAUUUGA
rnacentral:tRNA from 1 species